AGUGUAACACAAACAAACCUGCACACACCCAUUUUUAUUCAAGUCUAAUGAGUCACGGACAGUUUUGAUCUUGAGAUUCUGAACAGGCAGUCUGUUUAUGAACUGACAGGGUGAAUGUUAAAUUGCACCAUCUGGAAGAAAAGGAGCAGGGAGACGUUGUCGCGUAUCGAUCUCAUACAUGUAUGUGCACUGCUAAUCAUCAGGCACAAACAUUGAAGGUCUUAAAUGAAUUAACUCAAUAGCUGAGAAGCAACUUGAGCU